rnacentral:rRNA from 1 species
UCGGGAAUUUUGGGCAAUGGGGGAAACCCUGACCCAGCAACGCCGCGUGAAGGAUGAAGUAUUUCGGUAUGUAAACUUCGAAAGAAUAGGAAGAAUAAAUGACGGUACUAUUUAUAAGGUCCGGCUAACUACGUGCCAGCAGCCGCGGUAAUACGUAGGGACCAAGCGUUGUUCGGAAUCACUGGGCGUAAAGCGCACGUAGGCGGAUAGUUAAGUCAGGGGUGAAAUCCUGGGGCUCAACCCCAGAACUGCCUUUGAUACUGGCUGUCUCGAGGUCGAGAGAGGUUGGUGGAAUUCCUAGUGUAGAGGUGAAAUUCGUAGAUAUUAGGAAGAACACCAGUGGCGAAGGCGGCCAACUGGCUCGAUACUGACGCUGAGGUGCGAAAGCGUGGGGAGCAAACAGGAUUAGAUACCCUUGUAGUCCCUGAGCGGGCUGGCAAGGCGCAU